rnacentral:ncRNA from 2 species
CUCUUAUCAUGAGAGGUGGAGGGACUGGCCCGAUGAAGCCCAGCAACCGCCAAGCAGCAAAUCGCUUGGAAAAGGUGCUAAUUCCUGCAAAGCGAUGCUUUGAGAGAUGAGAG